UACAAUAUACGGCUAUAAGAGCGGUCGGCUAAUCUCCCAGAAGGGACGUGAUGCCCAUGGAGGUCAAAGAUGCACUUUCCUUAAUGUUCAUGUUCGGCAUGUUCAUUCUGGCAUUGCUUACCUACAUGAAAAAGGAAUAGACCGCCCUGCCUAAGGAAACGGUCUAUUCUGCGACCUGACUGAUGUGUGGCCGACUGCUCUUUAUGCAGUUAUUGUACUUUGGAGUCGUGUUAGCGCACGGCUC
rnacentral:sRNA from 1 species